rnacentral:rRNA from 1 species
AACGAACGCUGGCGGCAGGCUUAACACAUGCAAGUCGAGCGCCCCGCAAGGGGAGCGGCCGCCGGGUGAGUAACGCGUGGGAACGUACCUUUUGGUUCGGAACAACUCCGGGAAACUGGAGCUAAUACCGGAUAAGCCCUAACGGGGAAAGAUUUAUCGCCGAAAGAUCGGCCCGCGUCUGAUUAGCUAGUUGGUGAGGUAACGGCUCACCAAGGCGACGAUCAGUAGCUGGUCUGAGAGGAUGAUCAGCCACACUGGGACUGAGACACGGCCCAGACUCCUACGGGAGGCAGCAGUGGGGAAUAUUGGACAAUGGGCGCAAGCCUGAUCCAGCCAUGCCGCGUGAGUGAUGAAGGCCUUAGGGUUGUAAAGCUCUUUUGUCCGGGAAGAUAAUGACUGUACCGGAAGAAUAAGCCCCGGCUAACUUCGUG